GACGAACGCUGGCGGCGUGCUUAACACAUGCAAGUCGAACGGAACGUCCCUGCUUUUUUGCGCUGCUCGGGUUGCGAACGGGUAAGUAACCCGUAAGUAACCUGCAAUUGACUUUGGGAUGACUUAAGGCAUCUGGGUCUAAUACCAGAUAGGAUCUCCUGCUGCUUGGUGGGGGCUGGUAAGUUUCGGCGGUUGGGGAUGGACUCGCGUCUUAUCAGAUUGUUGGUGGGGUAGUGUCUUACCAAGGCUUUGACGGGUAGCCGGCCUGAAAGGGUGACAGGACACACUGGGACUGAGAUGCGGCCCAGACUACUACGGGAGGGAGGAGUGGAGAAUAUUGCACAAUGGGCGGAAGGAUGAUGUAGCAACGCCGCGUGCGGGAUGACAGCCUGCGGGUUGUAAUCCGCUUCCGCCUGUGACGAAGCGUGAGUGACGGUAAUGGGUAAAGAAGCACCGGCUAACUACGUG
rnacentral:rRNA from 1 species